rnacentral:rRNA from 1 species
GAUCAACGCUGGCGGCGCACCUAAGACAUGCAAGUUGAACGGACUUAAUCGAACUAUUUGUAUUUUGAAGCGGUUAGUGGCGGACUGGUGAGUAACGCGUAAGGAACCUGCCUAUUAGAGGGGAAUAACAGUGAGAAAUCAUUGCUAAUACCGCAUAUGCCAUAGAUAUCACAUGAUAACAGUGGGAAAGGAGCAAUCCGCUAAUAGAUGGCCUGGCGUCUGAUUAGAUAGUUGGUGAGGUAACGGCCUACCAAGUCGACGAUCAGUAGCCGGACUGAGAGGUGGAACGGCAACGGUGGGAAGGAGAUACGGCCCAGACUCCUACGGGAGGGAGCAGUGGGGAAUAUUGAGCAAUGGAGGAAACUCUGACGCAGUGACGCCGCGUAUAGGAAGAAGGUUUUCGGAUUGUAAACUAUUGUCGUUAGGGAAGAGAAAGGACAGUACCUAAGGAGGAAGCUCCGGCUAACUACGUG